UGGAUCGGUGAUGACUACUGGUGGAGUAUGAGUCAUAUAAUGAAUAAAUUAUCCGGAACUCUGAGGUUCAU
ensembl:snoRNA